rnacentral:rRNA from 1 species
AUUGAACGCUGGCGGCAUGCCUUACACAUGCAAGUCGAACGGUAACAGGUCUUCGGAUGCUGACGAGUGGCGAACGGGUGAGUAAUACAUCGGAACGUGCCCGAUCGUGGGGGAUAACGAGGCGAAAGCUUUGCUAAUACCGCAUACGAUCUACGGAUGAAAGCGGGGGAUCUUCGGACCUCGCGCGGACGGAGCGGCCGAUGGCAGAUUAGGUAGUUGGUGGGAUAAAAGCUUACCAAGCCGACGAUCUGUAGCUGGUCUGAGAGGAUGAUCAGCCACACUGGGACUGAGACACGGCCCAGACUCCUACGGGAGGCAGCAGUGGGGAAUUUUGGACAAUGGGCGAAAGCCUGAUCCAGCCAUGCCGCGUGCAGGAUGAAGGCCUUCGGGUUGUAAACUGCUUUUGUACGGAACGAAAAGCCUCUUUCUAAUAAAGAGGGGUCAUGACGGUAUCGUAAGAAUAAGCACCGGCUAACUACGUG